rnacentral:lncRNA from 1 species
UGAUUUGGCUUUUUAGGAUAAAUAUGUUUUUGCCCAAAAAAAUGAGGGAUAUUGCCCCCCAUAUGCACCAUGUGGCUUUUCGCCCCUGCCAAGACUGGAGCAUAUCAAAUCCCAAUUUACACCUCAUCUUUGCCUCCUGACAAAGAAAAGAGAACAUUAAUCAACUUUCUGCCAGCAGUAAUAUUGAAAACUAAUUGAGGUGGAAGGACUAUUGAAAACCAAGAAGUUACAGCUUCACUAGUACUACUGAUAAGAGAUAUUGACGCAGUAAUCAAUCCUGCUAAGACCACUACACAACUUGGUAAUUUAGAUUCAGGUAGAAAACCUUUCAAAAGCAACAAUAACAUGAGUAUCAAGCCGCUCAUAAAAUCAAAGGCCAUCACCGGCAACCAAACAAUGAAAGCACAUUAGUAGUCACCCAUCAAAGGAACCUGAUAACUUGAUCACAUAAUGCUUACAAAUGUAAACAAACCAAACUUUACUAAUAAGUUGCAAAGCAACAUUCUUAUUGAAGACGUACAAAACUUACUACCUCGGUUCCAUAUCAAGUCUCUUUCAGAAUUCAGAUUUUCCGAGUUACAAAGGAAAAUUCACACUUGUAAACUUAAUGGUGUUGCCAACAGAAUUAAGUUUACAUUCCAAAGCUUUCACCUAAAAAGGGUAUUAUUAGACAAAACCAUAAAUUUUAGACCAUUAAUUCUAAAAUAAGUCCCAAAUUUUGGGACAAUGCAAAAGAGAAAAUGAAACAGCUAUUUUGAGAACGAGGGAAAUUCUAAAGCAACUUUUUUUAACAUCAAUGUAAUACAGAAGAUUAAGCCCAUGAGAGAACAUAAAUACAGACCACUAUUAACCAAGGAAAUGCAUGUUUGUACCAAAGUACCAGCCAACAUCAAGUCAAGUAUCCAGUCAAACAGAAUCAUAUCCCAUGGCUAGUGUUUAUCCGAAUGACAUAGCAAAUUUGUGACUUAAGGCUCUGUCAUAAUCCCAUCUCAAAAGGGUAAAUCGGAACUUCAAAAAUGGCAUUUUAUUUAAAAUGCCCAAGGUUAUGGGCACCUUCAAACUACUAGAUAAUUCGUAUCUUGUAAAAAAUAACAUAAACCAGCCUUUAAUUAUUACAGCUUUGGCCGGUCCUACCUUCCACCAGAAAGGCAGAUUAUUCUCAUCAGUGUAAUCACUACACAUACUGAAAGCAGGAGAAAUUAUUCUCAUCUGUUUAAUCACUAUAAUUUAGAGGGGGGAAUGAACGUUUAUGAAAAAGGAAAGACAAACAAGCUAAUUACGGGUCAAACUAUAAUAGUUUGUCUUAGUUAACCAUUACACAAUCAGCUCAAGCACAUGAUCCCACUUGGGCAUGUCACAAAAUGAUUAGGAGUUACAACUGUUUGCGCUACACCCAAACCUAGAAAAGUCAUAGUUGUCACGGCGCCACGGCGGUAACUGACCGCCAAGACGCCUAGGCGAUAAGGUGCCCACCAUGACAUCCGUAUGGCAAAAAAUCGUUCACAGUGUACAAUUUAUACAUUACAUAUUUUACUUCAAAAUUACAUGAGUAAUGAAAUUAUAUACAUUAAAAUCCAAAAUAUAAUAACUAAUACCAUGGAAUAGCAUUAAAAAUGCAUUGCAAUAUAUAUAUAAUUUGAGGCAAAAAUUAUUAUUUAUAUAUUUUUUGGAUUUACACGAGUUUUAUGAUUUAUGUGGUCAAAAUUAUAACUUUUAAGGGUUAAAAUUGUACAUGCAAUAAGAAUUUAAUAUUUCAUGGAGAAAGAGUGUUACUUUUUAAAUGAAAAAAAUAACUAUUUACUACUUUUUAUGAAAAAAAUAGAAAUAUUUAUUAUUUUGUUAAAAAGAAAAAUUAAUUAUGGCUAGAUUCACAACACAUGGAACACCACUCUUAAAUCAAUUAUUUAACAACACAUUACUUAAUUAUUAUUAAUAUUACUAUUAAUUAUUUAAUAUUAUUUAUUAUUUACUUUUUUUGUUAAAUUAAUUAUUUGUUUAUUGCAUGUAGAUUCACAACAGCUAGAACACCACUGUUACACAUGGAACACCACUACUGUUUUUGUCUUUGUUAAAAGGGCAAUGACUCAUUGCAUAAAGUAGUGAAUGACAAUUAACAAUCUAAUUUAAAAAAGAAUAGAAAGAGGACAAAAGCAGUUAAAAGUCUUUUUCUUCUUCUUCUUUAAUUGAUCCUUUUCUUUUUCUUUCACUUCUUUAUAUUCUUUCAUUUUUCCAUCUAAUGCUACUACGGCAUGCCUGUGGCCGUGUCAUCAGUGUCGGCAACUUACGUCGCGAGCUGCAUAUGGUCGACGAUUGUAAGUUGAAAUCUUUUAUGACUCUCUUCGCAAUCGUCUUUUGGAAUACUCUUCAUUGUCGGCAGAAUAAAAGUUGCAGAGGACUUCUAGUUUUCUUCUCUCCCUCUUUUAAUUCGAUUUGUAAUGGGUAAAGUCCAUGGGUCUUGAAUUACAAAAAAGCCAACUUGAAAUUGACCCACCUACUGAGGCUCUCGUCAGCAAUGACUUGUGGAUGCUUAGCUGCCAAGGCACUCCCCCUAAGACAAGCAUCGCCAUGAUGCUUGUUGUUACGUCAGGACGCCUAGGCGAUGCCGUGACAACUAUGAAAUUUAUGCUUAACAUGUAUUAUAUUCUACAAAAUCCCUUUUCCCUUAUACAUCUUUUGUAAAAAAGGGAGCACCACGACUCCACGAGCCACACCUCAACAAGAGCUAAUGGCAGACAGACAUAUAAUUAUAUUCUACAGAAUCUAAACAAUCCCUUGUAAAUCUCAGGUGUAAAAAAUGGAGCACCGAGACAACAUUUAGACAGCAGGCAGAAUUGUUAGAAGAAAGAAAAUAAAAAAGUACACGAAAUAUACCUCACAAAAGUCAAAUGCAGGUGCGUAGUGGCAGAACCUUUCAGAUUGCUGGAAACUGUGACAUGCCUAGAUACAAAAUUUUUUUUUGUUAAACUCACAUAUGAAGAUAUUAGACACACUAGCUAAGACAUGAUAUCUAAAUAAUAUAGAAAGGAAAUUGAUAUUUCCACAUUAUUUUUUUAUAUUUCCACACGAAGGGCUCACAUAUUAACUAAUGUGUCGGUUUUUUAUUGGCUAAUAUGUGGGCCAUACAUGUGGAAAUAUCAAAAAGUGAUGUGAAAAUAUCAGUUUUCUAAAGAAAUUGAUGUCUUAAGAAACUAUUGAACCACGUUAACAGUAUCUUGAAGGCACAACAAGAUGUAGUAUUAAAUAGAUGAAAGCAAAGAGUGAAAAUAGACGCAAUCUACAAAUCUACUUAAAGUUUCCAAAGUACCAUAGGAUUGAAGGCAUAUAGGAAAUUACACCCAAUAAAAGAGAUAUAUGGAAACAUUUUUCUAUCAAGAUACAUGCAUAACUAUACAUGUGCAUUCAUUUAUAGUCUUCCAACGUUUGAUGAUUUUUAUAGGACAAACGUGCUAAAUUAGAUCUUCCUGUCACUAAGCACUACCAAAGGCUAAAGCCCUUUCUACUAGUUAUCAACAUUUCCAUUAACAUCAUCACACCAAAAUAUGCUAACACCCCGAGGAUCCUUACAAAGGCCCAUUGUAGAACCCAACAAGAUGAACAUGAAUUUUGCCGAUUAUGUUUGCAUACACCAUAUAAGUUAAGGAGUACUACAACUGUGGGAUAUGUGUAAGAGCUAGACAGCAGUUAAAAUGCAACAGAAAAUAUACCCAUAUCUCCGAAAUGAAUGUUCGCAGCUACAGUUAGGAGGCUUUGAUACAUUUUUAUCACCCUAUAGUAUAACAGAAAGCUCUUAUAUGCAGGCGGAAACCCUGUAUUGUUCCUCUCAUUGAAAAUUCAAAACUCAUGCUAAUUCAACCAAUAUUGGACAGGUCAUCCUCUCGACUCCAUAAGAAGAAAAUAAAAGGAGAGAUGAAUACUUUGCUAGUCUUGAAACUUCAACUACAUAUUUCUAAGGAAUAUUAUGCAACCUCUAUCAAAAUCAAAACUAGGCAUCAACCUACCAGAUUAGGUGCAUAAAGAGAAACAAACUCCACUCAGCAAAAGGAGCAAACAAUAAAUUAGGGUGAUAUGUUCAGAGAUGGUUACAUUACUUACUUGACCAAGUGGUUCAUUGUGCAGCUCCGCUGUUGAAUAAGACUUCCCAACACAUCACGCAAUAUAUAUAAGAUCUCCUCAAAACUUGAUACUUCACUGCUGUAUAUCUAAAUGAACUGAAACUAAUAUUGUUUUUUCCUUUCAAAAAAUAAGCUAGCUUCCAUGAAACCCCACCACCAACACUAAACAAGGAAGCAGAAAGAAGACAUCUCCAUCCCACAAGGCUGAUAGCCUGCAACACCACAGCAAGUCACUCAUCCUCUUCUUUUACUUGGUGCCAUUUUGUAGGGGCUGUGAUCUUUAUGCUUUGUCUCUUAGCUUUUGAAUACACGUAUACUUUGGCAAUGUCCCCUUCUGGCGGCUUAUUUCUAAUAACAUGCUUAUCCAAGAAAGGCACUCAUCCUAUUUGCUUAGUGCAAAAAAAUCACUGACCAUAAUACCUAAUGCAGUUAUAAAUGAACUGCAACUGACAGCUAGGUUCUAGCUCUACUACGUGACAGCUUUCAUUGACUGAAAACACAUUUAUCCAUCCAAAACCCAAGACAUGCAGAGAGAGAGGAGACUGUGAGAGUGAGAGCAAGAGAGAGGUGAGAAAGAGAGACAAGUCAGUGAGAGAGGGUGAGAGAGAAAGAUUGAGAGGAUAUCACCGGCCCCGGUUCCCACCAAAUACCAAAGCUAAUAAACUCAUCACCCUUUGAGUUGAGUUAACGAUCAGGAUGCCAAUACUCAAAUUGACAAAUUCAAAUAGAUGUGGUACACUUUGUAUCAUGUGGGAAAACUGGAAGAAGGAAUAUAACCUUUCUCUUCCAAAAGGAGAUCAGCUCUAAAAUAAAGCAGCAUCCUCCCUAUUUCCCCAAAAAAAACAUAGAAAGAGUUUGUUUAGAUUGGCAUAUGAAAUGAAUACUUCUCAUGUGUAUUCAGGAUGCAGCUCUUUUUGAAGCUCCUCUCCUACAUACUCCCAUAACUUCCUAGAAUUCUAGUUAAAACUGGCAAAACAAAUCUAUACUUCUCAUAUGUAUUAGGCUGCACCUAUUUGAUCUUCUCACAUACUUGUAUCAACAAAUAAGAAUGUAGACCGAAUUUCAGAAGUAAAAAAACCUGGCCCAAAACAAAAUGUAUAACCGACAUUUGGAUCUAGUUAAGGUCAGCAGUUAGAACUAACUUAUAAGAUGGCAGGAUAUAGAUGAAAUUGAACUGUUCUUUGAAACUCAAACACAAGAUACAAGGUAGAAAAGAAACAUAUUCACUAAACCCUGCUAGGAAACGUUUGGCUAGCUUAGCUCGCAUACCAGUAAAACCCUUUAAAAUAAAGACAAGUGCAAACCACAAAAAUGAAACCCACAUUCUUACUGGUUCGACACUGUCUUACAUAACUAAGUCCAAGAGAAGACCAAGUGGUCCAAUUCACAAGAAUUGUGAUAAAGCAGGACCGGUUCACAAUAAAUCUAAAAGAGUAUUUCUUUAAUAAGUAACAUAGAAGAGUAUUUAACCAUGCGCAGGUACUCUUAUUGUUUUUAUACUUCAUUUUACACGAAAAGUUGCUUGAUGCACAACUUGCAAAACAAGCACAAGCAGAAUCCUCAGUGGCUUAUCUAUUAAGAUAUUAUCAUAUAGAUAUGUAAAUGUAUUAGAUUCCUUACUUGUUCGAAAUCAAAAUUAAUCUUUAUCACUCAAGAAGGAAAAUAUUUUACAUUUAAACUUCAGCGUAAUUUAUAUUUGAACUGAAUGAUAAAAAUGGAGAACAUACAAGAUGGUAUGGGAGCCACGAUCAGAAGGUUUACCACAAUACUCCUCAAGGUUCCUCUAUAAGCCCAAGAAAGUUUGGCAAACACAAUUCAGUACCAUUCAUUGUCUGAUGAGUAUGAAAUAUGUUAUAUUUUCAUUCCUUAAUACUUAAUCUUUUGUAUUUAUUUUGUGCCUAAAUAAACUCAUUAUUUUUAUAUUUUUAUUUUAGGUACAAUUGAAGGGGUUUCAUGAUUUUGGAAAUAAAUUGGAGGAGGUUUACGGAAUCAAGGAUUCAACAAUUAGUAUCAUAAAUGGAUUUGGAUUCACGCGGCAAGGAGUUUAAGCACAUGGAAAUUGUGGGAUUUAAUUUCAAUUUCAAAUCUGAAUUUUGGAUUCUAGAAGAUUAGUUUUACAAUUCUAUUGUAAUUAGGAUUUCUUUUAGACUAAGAUUUAUUUUCAAAUUGAAUUCUAUUUCUUUAUGAAAAUUAGUGUAAUUUGUAAUUCCUUUAAGGAUUUGGAUCUCUACUUCCCAUGGGAUUUAGGACUUUGUCUAGCACUAUAAAUAGAGGAUGAGAGUCAGGGUUUUAUUCAUUUAACUAUCAACUAUCAUCUAUUGGAGUGUAGACUCAAGAGCAUGUCAGGCUAGUUCUUUUCAUUCAGUUCUAAAGGGAGGUAGAACAUUGUUACAAGUAAUUGAUUAAUUGAGUAUUAUUAUUUAUUCCUUCUUGUAUGAAAUUUCUUCUGAUAAUCUGUUUUCAUUGAUUGCAUGCUAGUUAAUCUAAUUAAUUUAAUAUGGCUAAUUGAGUUAAUUUGAUCAUUAUCAUCUGCUAGAUUAAGAUUGGUAUUACGUGUAAUUAAUAUCUGUCUUCAUCACAUGUAGCAACUUGGUAAUAAUAAUUGUGGACAAGCUUUUGUUUAUUGCUAAGAUUAUCAUAAAACAAGUUAAACAAAUCGAGCUUAUGUGUUUGUUACUUGGAUUAGCCUAAUUCUCUAUUUCUUAAUGCUUCUAUCAUAUUAAAUCUAGAGAGCUUAUUCUAGGUUGUAUGCUAGUUAGAAUCUGGUGGAGAGCUUGUUUCAUACAGUGAUAAUCUAAGGAGAAUUUCAGAUAGCAUAGCUUAUUGUUAUCUAGGGCUAAUAGUUUCAUUGAAGGGAAAAUAAUAAUAACUUGAUUAAUUGAUUGUUGUACUUGGUGAAACUGAACUGCAGAACUGAAGUUUUUACAUAUUUGAUUAAAUCAUUAAUUUUUGUUCUCUUAGUUUAAAAAAAAAAUUUAAAAACCCCCAUCUUUAUUUUCUUUUGAAAUAGUAGAAUAAUUCUAAAACAACUUUACUCUCUGUGGGAUCGAUCUUUACUUACUACUGUGCUAAUUGUUUGAAUUUGUAAAGUGAAAGUGAGGUUAAUAUAGAAGUGUAAACGACAGCUCUCAUAGUCUUAUACAACUACAGAGAUUCACUCUUUCAAUUUAUAUAUGUGGUUCGUAAACUAAUGUAAAAGAUGACAGACUCCCAUAGGAGCAUUUUGAUAAGCAUCUCUACAUAAAUGAAUUGUUAAAAAAAAAUUACCAGCAGCAAAACUUAACAUUAACUAUUCUACAUCAAAUUAGAGCUAACAUACUGUAUUCUGUUCAUAAGAUUAUACAUCGACCGGACCUUCAUAAAAGCAUAAGUGCACUGGCUGCCUCUAGUCCUCCCCAGCGGCAUUCAUAACAUAUAUAUAUAACUAACCAACUUAAACAAUAGGAAUAAUCUGCUGGAAAGCCUGCGCAGACAUAGAGCUCCACAUCUAAGGUGUCUUCAUAAUUUCAAUUGGAGAUUGAAGAGCGUAAAACCAUAGAUAUGUGAAGGUUUACUACAAGGUGUAAAAACGGGGUAUUACUUUACUAGUCAAUAAAAAUUGUGUAACAAAAAUUGAGGGCUUUCCUUACUUGACAAAAAGAGGUGUAGAAACAUGAAAGGCUCCUGUAAGUGCAGUCACAUUAUAUUCUUGAAAUAUGGAUAUUGAGUUGUAGGUUUAUCUACGACCUAAAGGCAAGGUUUGCAUCCCUUCAGGAUAGGAAAUGCAAUACUGAAGAGAGCAGGUAGGGUUCGAAUAUUGAUCUCACAGUUGUGCAAUAAUAUAGAUAGAAAGCAAUGCAAGAUAACCCAAUAAGGAUCCCAAUGUAGCUAAAAUUAAAUUCUACUAAUUGCCUUAUGGUAUUCAAACAUCCCCAAAUUUGUGCAACUUCAUGCUAUCAACUAUAUCUCAUCAACCAGCAUCUUGCAUAUGAUAAGAUAUAAAAGAUUGCACAUUAGCUGAUUUCACAGAUAAACAUUUUUCAUCACCUGCACUUACCGAUAUCAUGGAAUUGUAACACAUGUAAAACGAAUGAAUUAGGAGAUAUCAGUAAACUAUUGCAAGUAACAUAAAACAUAAAUUAACAUAAGCCGCCACUGAGCUAAUAUGAACUUUCAACAUUGCUCCAUGAAUUAAUAUCUCCAUAACAUAUGAGCGUAUCAGAGUAAAUGUCUUAUCAUGAGAGAACACGUCAAACCCAAAUCUAAGUUUCAAAUUGAAUACCAGUGUGUAGCAAGCAAAAUAAGAGAUCAUCCAAGCAUGAACUAGUUUAUCUGUGUCCUUGAGUUCAUUGCACAUCAUAAGCACCCCAAGGUCCAGGUCCAGGUCCAGGUCCAGGUCCAGGAUAACUUUCUCCACUAGCCUUAAC